CACACACACACACACACACUUACAUACUUACACACUUACACACAUGUAGGUCAGCAGUACAGUAGAUAGCGCGGGACGAGGUGGACGAAGGUAGUUACACAUAGGCGUCCACUGAGUUCAGAAGUUCAAGAUGAAACUCCAGCUGAUAAUGUUUACGGUUAUCACCCUGCUGGUUCAUCUCUCAGCGGCCUUCUCGCUCUGGGACUUGUUCUUCAAGAGGCCUACGUGGUUCAAGUCGAGGGUGUCAAGGAACAGGCCUUCCUGGAUGCCUCACCUCCAAAACUACGGCUACUGGAAUGGCUACGACAUCGACGGCUAUACAGAGAGUGGAUAAGAGUGUGCAGUUCAGCGAUCUGUUUAUUCUUCGCAGAUGGAAUGAUAAACGUAUUGCAGAUGUUCAACUGCAUCAAAAAUGUUCUUUUCUAAUGUUAUUUGUUAUGUUAUUUAAUUAUCUAUUUAUAUAUUUCCUUCAAACUUUCUGUUUUUAUUGUUUUCUUAAGUUAUUGCUCACGCUGAACGAACAUGGUUUAAAAAAAAAAUAUUAAAAGAAUUGUUAAAUGUUAAGUGCCAGUGCUGGGCGUGUGAGUUGUUAUUUAUAAUUUAUAUCUUAAGAAAUCGAAAUAUAAUUUUCAUGUU